rnacentral:rRNA from 1 species
UUGGCACCUCGAUGUCGGCUCAUCACAUCCUGGGGCUGUAGCCGGUCCCAAGGGUAUGGCUGUUCGCCAUUUAAAGUGGUACGUGAGCUGGGUUUAAAACGUCGUGAGACAGUUUGGUCCCUAUCUGCCGUGGGCGUUGGAUGUUUGAGGGGGGCUGCUCCUAGUACGAGAGGACCGGAGUGGACGAACCUCUGGUGUACCGGUUGUGACGCCAGUCGCAUUGCCGGGUAGCUAAGUUCGGGAGAGAUAACCGCUGAAAGCAUCUAAGCGGGAAACUUGCCCCAAGAUGAGACAUCCCCUGGUGUAAGCCAGCUAAAGGGUCGCGGAAGACCACCGCGUUGAUAGGUCGGGUGUGGAAGCGCAGCAAUGCGUUAAGCUAACCGAUACUAAUUGCCCGUGCGGCUUGAUCCU